rnacentral:rRNA from 1 species
CCUACGGGUGGCAGCAGUGAGGAAUAUUGGUCAAUGGCCGGAAGGCUGAACCAGCCAUGCCGCGUGAAGGUCAGUGCCCUAUGGGCGUUAAACUUCUUUUGUGCGGGAGCAAUAAUGGUCACGUGUGGCCAGACGAGAGUACCGUACGAAUAAGCAUCGGCUAACUCCGUGCCAGCAGCCGCGGUAAUACGGGGGAUGCAAGCGUUAUCCGGAGUUAUUUGGGUUAAAGGGUGCGUAGGCUGGGAGGUAAGUCAGAGGUGAAAUGCCCCCGCUCAACGGGGUGAAGUGCCAUUGAUACUGCAUUGCUGGAAUGCGGAUGCCGUGGGAGGAAUGUGUGGUGUAGCGGUGAAAUGCAUAGAUAUCACACAGAACACCGAUUGCGAAGGCAUCUCACGAAUCCGCGAUUGACGCUGAUGCACGAAAGCGUGGGUAUCAAACAGGAUUAGAUACCCCUGUAGUC